rnacentral:lncRNA from 1 species
UUUUCACCACAUGAACAAUAUUAUUUUUUUCAUCUUGUCGAAAAGAAACAACAACAGGACAAACAAAAGCUAGAAUUGUAACGACAAAAAAAAAGAGUCUAGAAUUGUUUUAACUAAUUGUUCCAGCAAAUAUCUUACGUAAACAAUGUUUGUUAUGUUAUCUAAUCCAACAUCAAUAAUUACUGUAUUCUACGUUUAUCAAUGCCAUAUAUAUGCGCAUAGAUCAUGAAACACACCCUUAUGCAUGCAACAAUAAUCUUUUUAUUUCCUUAAGAAAUGGCAGAUCAUUAGGGAACUUCAAUCUAAUAAUUUCUUUCAGUUACCGUAUCACGAAAACGAAUUAUGAACACUCUUCAAAAAGGAUAGUACCGUAGUUCAUAACUUAUUUCAGUGAAUUAAACAAAUCUAAAUUGGUUAUGAUACCAAAGGAUGUGUCCUUCUUCGACAAUGC